AGUAUUUCUGUUAAAAUUCUGAUCUCAACUUAACUAUUGUUAGUUACAAAUAAAAGGUAGGUAUCAUAAAUUAGGGUAAGCAGAGCAUGCAAAUCUACAGAGUCUAUGUCUGAGUUCCUAGAUUAGCAUGAAAACCAAUCACCGCAACAAAUACCUCAACAUAUGCCUCGUGUGGAGAGAGGAGGCCACACUGAGCGCUCACUGCCACAACCGUAAGGUUUUCGGAGAGGCCCCUGUGGCAGUUUCAGUGGUUUCUAUAUGGAGUGCUCCCCCUUUCUAGGGUUACUUGAAAAAUCAAGUCAAUUCGAAUUACGUAGCUGGAAAACAUUGACACGCGUAGUUUUUACAGAUUCAGAACCUUCUUUGUGAUUUAAAACGGGCAAUGGUUCAUAACACAGGAAACUUAAAAUAUUUGCAGGCAACAUUUGGAUUAAAAAUACAUAUACAUACAUGAGGUGCAGAAGCACAUGUACUGAGCGUAAGCCACUGGCGUGUGACCACCUUGAUUGACCAAGAGCUGCCGCUCCCCAGCACUGCCUCCUGAAUUACCGCUAGUAAGUACACUGUGUAGCAUGGAGCCAAUUUAAAUAUGCCAACAGUUCAGCAAAAGUUUAACAGUACGGACUAAAACCGUUAACUCACGAUUCUGGUUACUUUAAAAUUUGGUAUGCUGUAUCUCAAAUACAUUAGUAACUAUUCCUAGAUGGAAAUAAGCAAAUACAUGGAAUCGUUAAAAAAAAAAAAAAAAAAAAAAGAUAAAAAAAAGCAUCACUAAAUGUCCAUUUGUACAGACAACAUUAGCAAACAUCUAAAAUUUCUUCAGCAAAAGAAAAACAUGUGUAUUUUUAACCCUUUGGUAUCCAAACUCUUAAAUUUUGAAGACUUUCUUAAAUAUAGUCUUCAAGUAACAAUAGGAAGAAACUUUUUUAAAGUAUUUACCUGAAUAAAUUUGAUGUAAAAUAAGAGAAGGAAAAAAAACAAAACUCCAUCAACAUACUCACGUGUGGUGCUAGAAAAUGUAACACACGAUGCACAGCAG